rnacentral:pre_miRNA from 1 species
ACUCUCCCUCAAGGGCUUCUAACAGUCAUUUAGAAAAUGCAGAUGUAAUUAGAAGCACUUGCAGGGGAGUAU